AUUAAUCUUCAGGGCAGGGUGAAAUUCCCUACCGGCGGUAAAGCCCGCGAGCUAGAGAUAGCAGAUUCGGUUAGACUCCGAAGCCGACAGUAAAGUCUGGAUGAAAGAAGAAAUUA
rnacentral:ncRNA from 2 species